GCAGUGCAUCAGGAAGAGGAGAGGGGCAGGGAGCAUUCUGCAGACAUUGGGCUGAGCAUGGCUUCCAGGUAUCCUCUAAACUGGGCAGACGUCUUCAGCACCAUUCUCCUGGACAAAGCGACAAGUUUUCAGCGGGCUUCAAAUGGCUUCUGGGCACCCGAUCCCCAAAGCUCAUUUCAUUUCCUUCUCCUAGAUAGAUUUUUCCUCCAGUGAAGUCUCAGGUCAGUACUACCAUUUCCCUGUAGCUCCCAGGGGAUCUUCAUGCCCAGCUUCUGGGGUCAUCAUACAGACUUUUGAGAAGCAAAAGAGAGAGACCGUAUUGAAGCCCAGUCACUAACUACGGUCAUAAAAGUGGACUAGUGAAAGGGUAGACGGGGAGGCCUUAGAAGGCAAAGGAGAGUAGCCUUAGUACCAUCUCCACCCAUGAGGGCUCCUUGAUUUUCUGACAGCCAAGCAAUCUUCAAAAAAGACCGAAAACUUUCCCACGCGGCGAGUUUGUACGGUUGGUGCUCCGGGGUACCAAUAACCUACAUCCAUUAAAGGAAUUUGGGAACCAUCUUACCGACGCCAACAGCAACGGCAACAGCAGCAGCAGCAGUAGCAGCAGCAAAGGCGACGUCGGCGGCAGUGGCAGAGGCUCCAAAAGAAGCAGGAGCGACCACCUCAGCUUCCCCAACUAAGUUGGAGAAAUAGGCAGAGCAGAGCGGAGAAAGAAGCUGGAAGAGAAGAAGAAUUCUCUGUCCAUCUUGUUCCCAAUACUCCAGGAAGAAGUGGGAAGGCAGGAGCGGCUUCUGGACAGCCAUCACUCCUUUUCAUUCUUCUGUGACUCUGCAAACUCUAGCUCUGUGAAAUAGAUUUCAAAGCUAAAAAGUGAUAGAUGGCAUUUUUGAUGUUGCAGAGUAGUCAGAGUUUAACUUUCCACCUCUAUUGCCUGUUUAAAAAGAGAUAUCUCAAAGCUUGUAUUCCUAUUAAGCUAAUAAAUGAUACCUUCUUCUUUGUGGAGAAGGCAGAGAAAUGAGAGAGAAACUGAUCCCAUUCUUCCACUGCAGGCAGGUCAGAAAGCUGCCACCUUACAAUCUUUGUCUUCCAAUUAUUUGCCAUUGUUUUCAUUACUUAUGAUCUGUUGUUUGCCUUUGAAUAGAAUUAAAUUUAAUAAUCCCUAAAUUCUCAUCUGGUAUGGACAAUGAUGGCAAUAAGUAGAGAUUUUUGAUACUUGUAAUAAAGAAAUCAGUGUGAGGAGAGAGGAAAGACCUACAUUGAUUAUGUUUGGAAGUUCCAAAGGCAAUGGAGGCAUACUGCAGCAUGCCCCUGGGGUACAGAUAAUCACAAGUUUUCAUAAACAGGAGAAACUAUAUAAAUAUAGAGGAAUUAAAUGGAAUAGAUACAUAUCCCUAUAAAUGAGAGAAGAGUCUGGUUGUGUUUUGUUAGCCAACUGAACUUUAUAUUGUCAUAUAUCCUGGAAUUCCUUUCUUCUUUAGCAGAAAUUGAUGACAGAGUGAAUGGUGUGCUGGGCCUGAAGUCAGGAAGACCUGGAUUCAAAACCAGCAUUAGACACUUGCUAGCUGAAUGACCUUAGACAAAACAGUUAACCUCUAUUUGCUUCAGGUUUCUCAACUGAAAAAUGGAAAUAACAUUUACCUCCCAGGGUUGUUGUGAGGAGCAAAUGAGAUAAUAUUUGUAAAACACUUAGCACACUCCUCAGCAUGUAGUAAAUGCUUGAUAAAUGCUUAUUUCUUUCCUUCCUUUCCUUGUCCUAUUUCUACUCAUCCCUUUCAAACCCCAAUUCCCAAUGGUACAUUUCAUAUGCCUUCUCCAUUCCUCAUUGCCAGCUGCUGAGCACCACUGGAAGUGGUCUCACAAUUAUGUUGAAUGAAUCCAUAACAAAUCUUUUGGAAUUUCAACUGAGUCCUCACUGUCACACAACAAUCUUUCAACUUCUUAUUAAACUCCCAUGGUAUCUAUUCCUACUGUUCCUUAGUCAAACUAUACCAAAGUAUAUUUGAGGAUAUCACCUCAAACUUUACCAAGGAACUUGCUAAGUUUCCCCACUCUCCAAUAUUUUACCCAUUAUUCCUUGGAGUAACAGAAGACACGGCUGGAAAGAAUGAUGGGGACCAAAAACUAGAAGGACUUUGAAUAUCAGGCUGAAAAGUUUGGGAAUGAUUAUGUGGGGAACAGGGAACCCUUGAAGACUGUUGAAAAUGUACAGUGGAAUAUUAAAAAACCUAGCGAUUCAGCUGAAAUUUGGCAGCAGUCGCAAAGGCAGAAGUAUCCUCAUCCCCUGUGGUCCUUGUUCCGUGCUCUCUUGCUUGUUUCUAAGAGCAUGAUCUCUGAUGCAAGGGCUUUCACAACACAAAAGUACCUGAAUCAUGGUCACCAAAGGAUGUGAACCAUUCCAGGAAAACUGAUUGUUUGCUCUAAUUUUAGAGGGGGAAGUAGUCUCACUUGCCUUGGCCAACCCCUCUUCUUGUACCUUUGAUCCCACCUUCUUCUGUCUUCUCUAGACUGACUCCUUAAUCUUUCAGUCACCCUAUCUCUAAUUUUGACUCUCAUUAUUUAUUGGCUCUUUAUCUGAUGCUUACAAACCUGCACAGAUCUCCCCCAACCUUAAAAAAGAACUUUUCAUUUGAUUUUGCCAUCCCUUCAAACUCAGUUUUGCCUUGAUCCAACAUUCUACAAAGUAACCUGAGUUUGGAGAAGUCACAAGAUUACUCCAUCCUCUAAGAGUCAGACAAGGUAAAGAAUGUUAUAGAACAACCUCUUUCUCACUUUUUCCUCAGUGCCUCUUGAUUGUCUCCCAGUUCCUUUUGUCCAACAUUCACCUACAAUUCACUGUCUCCUGAUUCCCUCCUCCGUUAAGCACCCAACUUCACCAUCUUGUCCCAUUUUUCAUUCCCUCCAAACUGUAUAUUAAUUGAGUAAAGACCAAAGUUCUGAAUUCUUAGUUAAUGAGAGCCUUUAAACUGGUUUGUUUUGCAAGCAUAUGCACAGCCAAAUAAAUUAUUUCUCUGAGUGA